UCACGUAAAAAACCACACUCCUCAAACACCACGAUGCCUUCCUCUAUAGUGGAGCUUUGAACUCCCAUUCUUCAUUGCAAUGACUUGCCUUCUCUGAUGGCGAUUUGAACUUGGACACCCACUCUACACAUCUUGUGAAUUUUUCUUGUCUUAGGGUUUGUUCUCCUUCUUAUCAAGGUAAGUUAUUGAUCAUUUUUUCUUGGAGUUUAACUUUUAUCAUUGUAGAAUUUUCUUUGAAAAUCAAAUUAGGAACAUACAAUUUGGAAAUUUUCAAUUAUUGAAGGAAAAAUGUAUCCAUUUUCCUUUUAUUUUAAGGUAUAAUGCUAAAUUUUAUGAAUGUGGUAAAUACACGACCCUUUGCCUAACGUGACUCUUAUUUUUUUCUCUUCUCUGUUUUUAGUGUUUUUCAUCCAUUUUCUAUUUUUUUGUUUAUAUUUUCUUUUGGAUAUGCGAUUCAUUACUAUUUUUUGGUUGAAGUUUGACUUUUUUUUGAACAAUUUUAAGCUCUUUAGGUAGUUUUAUGAUAUUUGGAUAACUUUUUUUAGAAAAUAGUUGGAUGUCUUUUGUUGUGGAAUGAAAUAGUUUAUCAUUUGUCCUACUGUUCAUGUUAUUUAUUAUGUGAAUUUUAGGCCAAUUUGGCUUCUGUAUGAUUGUUAUAUUGUACAAAUUGUAGAAUUUGGUAUGCUGAAUAUCUUCUAUAAAAUACAGAUGCAUUCAUGCUUAAUAAGGAUAUGUUUGACAUAUAAUGUUUUUGCUUUUCAACUCUACCAUUAUUAGAUUUUGAUAAAGUUAUAUGAGUUACCUAUUUUAGUGUAUCUGAUUGAUUAUAGAUUGAAAGAAUUGUUAGAAUCACUUGUAAAACAUUGAGAUGUCGUUGCUGAAAUGUCAUACAUAUAGAUGAUUGUGAAAUUAUAUGCUUACUGAUCAUAGUUCUUGCUCCCUAGCUUAUUAAAAUAUUAAGUUGUUUAUUGAACAUUAAAUCUUCUAAUUGAGUGUCAUUUUAUAUCUUUUGAUAACACUUCUUCUCAUAUUAUAUUUAUCUGAUCCCAAGUGAUGUUAGUGGUAAAAACUAUUUUUUAAGAACAAUUGAAUUUUACAUUCAAAAAGCACCUUGAAAAUCUGGUUUUGGAGUUUCAUUAUCAUUAUAACUUGACAUGCCAUGGCUGGUCGAUAUUGAUCACACCAAUCUAACGACAAAAUAUUGAUUGCAUGCUGUUAUAGGACCCUUUAAAGUUGCAAAUAAAAUGAAAAAAGUAAUACAGAUCAAACCAAGUCUCUGCCUUCAUGAACUCUUUGAACAUCACACAAUCAACUUAACUCAUGAAAAACUUGGCGUAUUCUCAGAUUUGUCUAUUUAAAUUAGCUUGGCAGCAGGUAUUACUCGCUUCUAGCAUUGGUACCGAUAGUUGCAUUUGCAUUUUCUGCAUUAGAAUUCUCUGCACUCGGAGGUUGUUUCUCACUUUGUUGAGGGGAUUGACAUGAUGGUAUAUCAGGAGUCGCUGUCUUAGUUUUUGUUAUUAUAGGCCUACAGACAAAUGAACAGGGUUGUCAUAUUUCUGAAGAGCAUCAUGACGCUGACACUAGGUAUCGGAUUUUCUUUGAGAAAAAAAUUGUGAGGUGAUGAUUUUUCGAAGUCCAUUCAUGCACCUGGUGCAGGCCCCUUCCAUGAUAAUGAAAUUGGGAAAGGGAACCUUUUAUUGACCUAUAAUUCCUGCACUUUAAAGGUAAGACUGAGAAUAGCGCAUUGCAGUGCACAUUCUUUGGCCAAACAGUCACUUGCAUUCAUGGUACGGUUCUGUUCCUUGCCGAAAAACAUUGUCAAAAUCCUCAUAAUUGUAGGCCACUCAACAACCUCAACUGCAGGAAUUUCCUCAGUAGUAAGCCUAGCUUCAACAAGAAAUUUCUCCGGAGACUCUCCAAGAUAGGGAUGCUGAUUGUAACAACUAAUUUAAUCUUAUAAAAGAAAUAUUUUUGACAUGAAAAUAAGAUAAUUUUAAUUAUUUGACAAUACAAUUUAGUGUUGAGUUACAAAGUUAACAUACAACUAAGUAAAAUAAUAGUCCUUGUGCAACUUUUUGGGAUAAAAUAGGAGAUGCAGUUAACUCUCAUAACAUGUUCAAUAAGACUGUCUAUAACUUCAGAAAUCAUGGAUAAUUUAUUGUUAUCAGGUGGCGUUGGACAGUGAUACUGUGCAAGUUUAUCAUAAGCACUUAUGGUUACUUAAUGAGGAUAUGGUUAUAGCUUUUAAAACUUGAUCCUUUGGUCUUCUUAAUUCCACAAUCAAACAUAUUUUAUGCUAUGAGUGCUUGAUUCGUGAACUAUAAUUUUCAUGGUUACUACUUAUUUACCACAAUACUCCUGGAUUGGAUAAGUAUGUUAGUUUACCAUACAAAUGUUUAAGCUUUUAUUAUUUACCAUCAAGGCAUUUGAUUUUAUUGGUCAUGCUAAACAUAAUAGGAUAAUGGAUAAAAAUAUCAUCUACAAGUUUGAAGGAACCAGAUAAGAAUUAGACCAUUUGUCCUUUGGCUUCCUUAGCUUUCGCAGAAGCUUAGGAGUUGUUUUAUGUGAGGUAUACGAUAUAACAAUCUCGGGAUGAAAUAUAGAAUUAUUUUAUCCUACGUUUGAUUGGAGGUAUUAGGUAUUCUUUGGUUAUUUAUUCCACUAUUUAUACUACUGAUAAGUUAUCUCACAUACAUGGGGGAAUAACAAUAAGAGGAUAACUAACUUCCAACCAAAUGAUCCUUAGUGUACACCUUAAUGCAAACCCUAUCAUACGGUUGGAACUAUAAUUUCUUGCGAAUAUGUUAUCUUUAUAUAAUAUAUUUAAUAUGUUAUAAUUGUUCUAUGAUAACUAGUGUGAUGGAAAGUUAUGUUCUUAUUAAGUUCAUUUACUCAAGAUCAAGCAUACUGUUGUUAGCAUUUGAAGUGUCAUGUGUGCAGUAGGUGCAUUGGUUUUUUAAAAUAUCAAUUUGAAGUUUGAAAUUGCUAGAAAAGUGUCUACUUUCUAAUCUUCUACACAGAAUUAUAAAGUAAGUUUUCAAAAGGAAGAGGGAAAUUGUAUAAUUUUUUUUUAUAAUGUGAUGUACAUGAAGUAGAGUGACUCUUCUUAUCUUUCAAACUGAAUAUUGUCAAAUAAAGAUAUUUGUUAGAUCACCAGGUAGAAGUAGUUACAGUGAUUGCACCACUUACAUGCUCCUUUCUUCUUUAAUUAGUAGAGAAUAGUUACUUUAAAAUACAUGCUGCAAAUUCAUAAUGAUUUAAUUUUAGCACGUGUAUUUUUCUUUACUUUGCACAUUAACAGUUUCUCUGCAGAGUUUCUCUUAGUCAUACAUUUGAUGGUCAAAGAUGACUGCACAAUUCUUUUUAUAUCGGCAAGUAAUGCAUCCUGCAGUGUGCCACCUCUUUCAAACAUGAUCAACUGGAUUUCCACACCUGUUGUUCAAAUAUUCAAAACUUGUCUCCUGUUUUUACAGCUUGAGGGCCCAACAAUCUUCUAGCUUGACAUUACCAAAGAGCAACUAAAUCACCACAAAUAACUCUUUACAUUCAUGAAAAUACAAAAUAUUUUGAAGCAAGGCGUCAUCUUUGGUACUCCAUUGAUUUCGUAAGCUUUUAGUGAAUUCCUACCCCCCUCCUUUGACAAUUCUUUUCUCAAGUUCUUUAUUUUUAAAUUAUCUUUGUCUGCACAUUGAUCUGUGUUUUAUGGUAUUGUAGUAAACUUUUAUUUUAAUUUGUCAUUUGUUCCCCCCUUGAUUCUCAUAUCUACACCUAAUAUUUGAAAUUGUUAAAUUAAAUUAAAGGGUGUGGCUAAAUUUAUGAAAAUAUCUCAAGAAAACAUAUCGUACUUAUAUACUCUAGUAUUUAUUUGUUUUAAAAAAUAAAAGUAGGUAAGUAUGUUAUAUAUUCAAAAGUGGAACAACUUAGCACUAUGGCGGUGCUAAGGCAGUAAAUAAGUUAAAACCUUUUGUACGUAAACGAAAAGAAGGUUUCCUACGGUGGAAGUCCUAUCUUUGUAGAGUAACUAUGAAAUCUACUAUGUUAUUUUCGUCCUUUACAUCUUGUAUAUUACAUCAAAAUUAAAAACUUAUAGAAAAUUAUAUUUAAGUUGUUGUACAGUACUCAUCUUCCGUUCAAAACAUCACAUUUUUGCCUUCUAUAAAAUCCAACAUUUGCUGGCAUGGACUGUGAUGCAAUACUUGGCACUCUAUGUUUUUUUUUUCAAAAUUUUUUUGUACUUUAUUAGCUUUCUUUCUACUUAGUUUUGAUUUCCACCUAUCUUUUGGUUCUAUGUUCUCUAUCUUUUGAAAUACUUCCAUUAUGUCUCAGAUCUUUUUCUACUAAAUUAUAUGGAUGACUCCUGUUUUGUUUGUGGUUAAUCUUGAUUUUGUUGAAGAGAAAAGGAGAUAAACAUAGUAGAAAAAAUGUAUUAGAACUUUUCUUCUCAAGUUGACACAAAUUUGUUAUUUUGACAGAUAAAAUUUUUAUAUUUGAAGCACCAGCCUUCAUCUGAUUAGAGUGAAGUAGAAGUAUGAACAACUGAAAAUGAACGAACUAGUUGAAGCACAAAGUCUAUGAGAACAAAGUCUAGCACCAAGUGAAUAUGUUAUGGGUUGUAUCUCUACUUAAGAAGGAGAGUAGAGUACACUGUAUAUGUGAUUGAUAAGGAGACUAGAGUGCAUAAAAGACCUUGAUAUUCCUUAACCAUGUCCCUACAUGGGAUGUGUCCUAGUACUAUCCUUGGCAAGUAGAACACCCUCCAACGGAGUAGGGUAGACUUCGAAUUCCAUGCCUAGCUAGUAUGGUCUAUGUCGGUUAUUGCCUAUUCUAAUCAUGUGGGAUACAUACUAGUGUUGGAUAAGUACUAUGAAGUUUAGGUAGUGGAAUGAGACGCUAUCUAGACAUUGCAUGAUUAGGCUUUGAAGAUGUUAGUGUGCGAGUGCGCUAGGUCUUUUUUAAAACCAUUAUGUGAAUGUCCAUACGUAAUGAAUGUUUUCUAAAUGACUUUAGUAAAGAAAUUUUAUUUAAAAAGUAGUUAUCUAGAGUAUCUUUGAGGAUUGCUUAGGUAGGCUUGAAAAAGGUGUAUGAGCGGUCUCUUCAUGUCUUACUUAGGUGAGUCUUACAGUAACUAUAGGAAGGGAGUUUAACAAAUAAAGUGAUAAUGGUCUUAUCUUAGUAGUCUUAAUGAUCAUUUAGGUUUCUUAGAGAGGGUGUAUGGGAGGUCUCUCUUCGUAUCACUUAAGCGAGUCUUUGGAUAACCUUUGGUGAAAGGGUAGCAAGUUAAAAGAGGUGACUGUGAAGUUGAACUUAGUUCACUGUAAAGUGACAUAGUUCACUAUAACAUUCUCCAAUAUUUGAUAAAAUGCAUAUCUUAUAUGUUUCUAUGGUGUUUAAUGUUGUUCUUAUGCUUAUACUAUGAUAUUUUAAUAAAAAAGACCAUGUUUUAUACAAAAGUCUGUUUGUCAUGAUUUAUACAUUAUGCCAUACUUACUAAAAGUGUUUGUACUAAUUCCAUACAUUUUUUCUAUCUCUAAAGGUAUAGGUCGCGUUUGAGAAGUCUCGAAGUGGAAGCUUGGAUUAGUGAUUCAUUCAAGUAAAGAGUUGGUAUGUCGUCACUAGAUUUGAGGACGUCUUGAUGUUUAGAUUUCCUUAUUGAAAGUAUUGUAAUAGACUUAGCUAUAUUCUAUGUGAUGAAUUAUGGUCCGUGUCCUAAUUUAUUCGUAUGUCUAAGAUGACGACUUUGAGACUUAGACUUCCAUUAUGUUUUUCUAUAAAAGAGAUAUUUUAAAGUAUUAUUAUUUCAUGU
rnacentral:lncRNA from 1 species